rnacentral:rRNA from 1 species
UACGAAGGGGGCUAGCGUCGCUCGGAAUCACUGGGCGUAAAGGGUGCGUAGGCGGGUCUUUAAGUCAGGGGUGAAAUCCUGGAGCUCAACUCCAGAACUGCCUUUGAUACUGAAGAUCUUGAGUUCGGGAGAGGUGAGUGGAACUGCGAGUGUAGAGGUGAAAUUCGUAGAUAUUCGCAAGAACACCAGUGGCGAAGGCGGCUGUCUGGUCCGGUUCUGACGCUGAGGCGCGAAAGCGUGGGGAGCAAACAGG